AGGCCAAGGAAGGAUGCUCUUAGCCUUAUAUAUCAAAGAAAAAGCCAUCAGUCCCACCAAUAAUCACAUCUCAAAAACACAGCCAAUAAACGACUACAUGAAUUGUCAGUUUGGUAAUAAAGGGAAAAGCAAAACCCAAACUCGUAAUAUAUAAGCAUCAAAUUUCCCCAAGGCCCAAAACUAAGGCAGAGGUAGGCAUCAAGUCCUUUCUUUUGUGUGUCGGUGCCUGUAGCUGUGACCCUCCUUUGACCAUUCGCCAUCACCAAUAUCGCCCCGCCGACGAGCUAGAUGAGAAAGGACUGCCCACCCCUUUCCUCCAUCGCCGGCGGCACCGUGGGCAAACUAUCUGUAUGUUUCGAAACUAAGCCUUUAGUGGCCACAUUACUAGCUCUCACUCUGGUGAUGCUCCUCUGGAACCUCCCUCCCUACUACCAAAACCUCCUAUCCGCGACUCGCCCUUGCUCUGCCCACACCACCACCACCACCACCACCACCACCACCACCCCCCUAAUCGCUUCCAAUGCUUCCUCAUUUCCUAUGACCUCCCCCGCCACCUCAUUAUCUGAGAAGAAGUACUCAACCACCGUCACCGACCCAAACAAACGGAUCUUCCAGGCAUACGGCAACGCCGCUGCUCUUUUUGUUCAGAUGGGAGCGUACCGUGGUGGCCCGAGGACCUUUGCGGUGGUGGGGCUUGCUUCGAAGCCCAUUCACGUGUUUGGUCGUCCUUGGUACAAGUGCGAGUGGAUCUCCAACAAUGGUUCUUUUAUGAGGGCCAAGGCCUAUAAGAUGCUUCCAGACUGGGGCUAUGGUCGCGUCUACACUGUUGUGGUUGUCAAUUGCACCUUCCCCGUGAAUCCUAACCACGACAAUGCGGGUGGAAAGCUCAUGCUCAAUGCGUAUUACGGUGAAUCUCAGAGGAAAUACGAGAAGUUUGUUGCUUUGGAAGAGGCACCAGGCUCUUACAACGAGUCCAAGUACCACCCGCCUUACCAGUACGAGUAUCUCUAUUGUGGGUCUUCUUUAUACGGGAAUUUGAGUGCGGCCAGAAUGAGGGAAUGGAUGGCUUAUCACGCAUGGUUCUUCGGACCCAGUUCCCAUUUCGUGUUUCACGAUGCCGGUGGAGUGAGUCCUGAGGUAAGGGCUGCACUUGAGCCAUGGGUGCGAGCAGGGAGGGCCACGGUUCAGGACAUUAGAGGGCAGGCUGAGUUCGAUGGGUAUUAUUAUAACCAAUUUCUGGUGGUUAACGACUGCUUGCAUCGGUACCGAUUUGCUGCCAACUGGACAUUUUACUUUGAUGUGGAUGAGUAUAUUUAUUUGCCAGUGGGCAAUACUCUGGAAUCGGUUCUUCAAGAAUUCUCCGAUUAUACUCAGUUCACGAUUGAGCAGAAUCCUAUGUCCAGUGUGCUGUGUUUGAAUGAUUCCAGUGAGGACUAUAGCAGGGAAUGGGCAUUCGAGAAGCUAUUAUUCAGGGAAUCGAGAAUGGGGAUUCGGAGGGACCGCAAGUACGCGAUUCAGGCAAAGAAUGCAUAUGCCACUGGAGUGCACAUGUCGGAGAAUGUAAUUGGCAAGACAUUGCACAAGACCGAAACAAAGAUUCGUUAUUAUCACUACCACAAGUCUAUUACGGUUCCCGGAGAACUUUGCCGGGAAUUUGUGCCUCCGUCAGCCAAGAACAAUGUGACCUGGUACGAUAAGCUCCCAUAUGUUUAUGAUGAUAACAUGCAGAAGCUGGCCAAAACCAUCAAAGAAUUCGAGCGACAUGCCAUUGGAACUGUACAGGCUUACUCAUGAUUGAUUUAUGUGCAAAAUAAGUUAUACCAUAUGUUGAGGCGUGACCUGCGACUUCAUUAUUCAUUCUCCUGUAAUUGGGGGCGAUUGCUGAAAUUUCACUCCUCUUUCCUUGGUGGACUGGACGGAAUUUGCCCAAGAAGAAGUGCUAUUUAAACAUAUCUGAAAUGGAGUGGACCUAGCUACCUCAAAAAAGAUACAAACAAUGUCAAAGAGAAGACAGUCCAUUUACUUUUAAGCCCAUGGUUUAUAUUAGGGCUUGCACAGGCGAAGGCCCAUUUGUUCCGAUGCAUGUAACUGGAAAUGAAUGAAUUAAGGGAGGUUUGGUAA